rnacentral:rRNA from 1 species
GAUGAACGCUGGCGGCGUGCCUAAUACAUGCAAGUCGAGCGAAUGGAUUAAGAGCUUGCUCUUAUGAAGUUAGCGGCGGACGGGUGAGUAACACGUGGGUAACCUGCCCAUAAGACUGGGAUAACUCCGGGAAACCGGGGCUAAUACCGGAUAACAUUUUGAACCGCAUGGUUCGAAAUUGAAAGGCGGCUUCGGCUGUCACUUAUGGAUGGAACCGCGUCGCAUUAGCUAGUGGGUGAGGUAACGGCGAGCCAAGGCAACGAUGCGUAGCCGACCUGAGAGGGUGAUCGGCCACACUGGGACUGAGACACGGCCCAGACUCCUACGGGAGGCAGCAGUAGAGAAUCUUCCGCAAUGGACGAAAGUCUGACGGAGCAACGCCGCGUGAGUGAUGAAGGCUUUCGGGUCGUAAAACUCUGUUGUUAGGGAAGAACAAGUGCUAGUUGAAUAAGCUGGCACCUUGACGGUACCUAACCAGAAAGCCACGGCUAACUACGUGCCAGCCGCCGCCGUAA